AUUGAACGCUGGCGGCAGGCCUAACACAUGCAAGUCGAGCGGCAGCGCGGGGGCAACCCUGGCGGCGAGCGGCGAACGGGUGAGUAAUACAUGGGAAUCUGCCUGGUAGUGGGGGAUAACUCUGGGAAACUAGAGGUAAUACCGCAUACGUCCUACGGGAGAAAGGGGGGAUCUUUGGACCUCUCGCUAUCAGAGGAGCCCAUGUCCGAUUAGCUAGUUGGUGAGGUAAAGGCUCACCAAGGCGACGAUCGGUAACUGGUCUGAGAGGAUGGUCAGUCACACUGGAACUGAGACACGGUCCAGACUCCUACGGGAGGCAGCAGUGGGGAAUAUUGGACAAUGGGGGCAACCCUGAUCCAGCCAUGCCGCGUGUGUGAAGAAGGCCUGGUU
rnacentral:rRNA from 1 species